AUGCUCGCUUCAGCAGCACAUAAACUGGAAUGAUACAAAGAUUAGCAUGGCCCAUGUGCAAGGAUGACACACAAAUUUAAAAAAAAAAAAAAGAAGAA
rnacentral:snRNA from 1 species